rnacentral:rRNA from 1 species
GAUGAACGCUGGCGGCGUGCCUAAUACAUGCAAGUCGAGCGAACAGAUAAGGAGCUUGCUCCUUUGACGUUAGCGGCGGACGGGUGAGUAACACGUGGGUAACCUACCUAUAAGACUGGAAUAACUCCGGGAAACCGGGGCUAAUGCCGGAUAAUAUUUAGAACCGCAUGGUUCUAAAGUGAAAGAUGGUUUUGCUAUCACUAAUAGAUGGACCCGCGCCGUAUUAGCUAGUUGGUAAGGUAACGGCUUACCAAGGCAACGAUACGUAGCCGACCUGAGAGGGUGGUCGGCCACACGGGAACUGAGACACGGCCGAGACUCCGACGGGAGGCAGCAGUAGGGAAUCUUCCGCGAGGGACGAGAGCGUGACGGAGCAACGCCGCGGAAGUGAUGAAGGUCUUCGGAUCGUAAAACGCUGUUAUUAGGAAAGAACAAAUGUGUAAGUAACUGUGCACGUCUUGACGGUACCUAAUCAGAAAGCCACGGCUAACUACGUG